UAAAAAAAAUUGUUUGUUCCAUAAGACAAAACUUCAGACCCUCUCGCCUUGAAGUAUAGUUAGUCCUUUAUUAUUUAGAAUUAUUGUGUUGGCAACACUGUAAUGGCCGGGUCUGAUGUUGGCAGGAACUCGCCCUGCAGAUGCAAAGACGCUCAGACACAAUGGAGGCUGCAAAGGGAAUCAUCGUAUUUCAGUAGGUUAAUAAACGAUUGUUGAUUGAACAAUUUUAAUUUGUAUCAACUUAAUGAUUUAAUGUCAGUGCUUCUUUUCUAUUAUUCUUAUUAAUAUCCUACUUUUGAAAAGAACAACAUGAUGCAACAAAUAGCGUGCAUUUAUAAACAUAACCUGAGAAUACCUAUCAGUCGAAAUGAUAAAUAGUGACUCUCAAAAUUCAAACUAAACCCACGUUAUUAUAGCUAUGACAGACUAUAAUGACAAAUAUUUUGUCAAUUUAUGGAAUGGAAACAUUCAAUAAGGAUAAUUCCAUUAGGUUAAUCGACAGUCAUUGGUUAAAAUGCAUCUGUCCAAGCGCCACUUCGUUCUACGUAUGAAGAAUUUUGUAUGGCAUUAUGAUGUUUGGCCAAAUCUGAAACUAUAGAGUAACUUCUAUCAUUAUCAAGGCACAAAAAUGUAUUCGAAAGAAAAAUUGAAGUCGCCUUCACCAUCGAAACAAGAAAUGACUACAACCUAUGUUAUUGACAUCAACAGUGAUAUUGGAUCCUAUUUAUUAAUAUUUUAAAAUGGUAAUAGCUUCACUUCUUAAUAAUUUAUUUGA